rnacentral:rRNA from 1 species
UACGAAGGGGGCUAGCGUUGCUCGGAAUCACUGGGCGUAAAGGGUGCGUAGGCGGGUCUUUUAAGUCAGAGGUGAAAUCCCAAGGCUCAACCUUGGAACUGCCUUUGAUACUGGGGAUCUUGAGUCCGGGAGAGGUGAGUGGAACUGCGAGUGUAGAGGUGAAAUUCGUAGAUAUUCGCAAGAACACCAGUGGCGAAGGCGGCUCACUGGCCCGGUACUGACGCUGAGACGCGAAAGCGUGGGGAGCAACAGG